rnacentral:rRNA from 1 species
GGCUUAAUUUGACUCAACGCGGGAAAACUCACCCGGCCCGGACACCGUAAGGAUUGACAGAUUGAGAGCUCUUUCUUGAUUCGGUGGGUGGUGGUGCAUGGCCGUUCUUAGUUGGUGGAGCGAUUUGUCUGGUUUAUUCCGAUAACGAACGAGACUCUGGCCUACUAAAUAGUGGGCGGAUUCUUUCUGUCCGCAACACUUCUUAGAGGGACAAGCGGUGUUC